GAUGAACGCUAGCGGCAGGCUUAACACAUGCAAGUCGAGGGGUAUUGGUUUUCGGACCAAGAGACCGGCGCACGGGUGCGUAACGCGUAUGCAAUCUACCUUUUGCAGAGGGAUAGCCCCAGAGAAAUUUGGAUUAAUACCUCAUAGUAUAGUACUUUGGCAUCAAGGAACUAUUAAAGUCACAACGGCAAAAGAUGAGCAUGCGUCCCAUUAGCUAGUUGGUAAGGUAACGGCUUACCAAGGCUACGAUGGGUAGGGGUCCUGAGAGGGAGAUCCCCCACACUGGUACUGAGACACGGACCAGACUCCUACGGGAGGCAGCAGUGAGGAAUAUUGGACAAUGGGCGCAAGCCUGAUCCAGCCAUGCCGCGUGCAGGAUGACGGUCCUAUGGAUUGUAAACUGCUUUUAUACAGGAAGAAACACUCCGACGUGUCGGAGCUUGACGGUACUGUAAGAAUAAGGAUCGGCUAAACUCCGUGCCAGCAGCCGCGGUAA
rnacentral:rRNA from 1 species